GAUCAUGGCUCAGGAUGAACGCUAGCGACAGGCUUAACACAUGCAAGUCGAGGGGCAGCGGGGAGUAGCAAUACUCUGCCGGCGACCGGCGCACGGGUGAGUAACGCGUAUGCAACUUGCCUAUCAGAGGAGAAUAGCUCAUCGAAAGAUGAAUUAAUGCUCCAUGAAACAAGGGGUCGUCGCAUGGGAAUAUUNUUAAGUAAUUACUAUCGCUGAUAG
rnacentral:rRNA from 1 species